CCUACGGGAGGCUGCAGUGAGGAAUAUUGGUCAAUGGACGAGAGUCUGAACCAGCCAAGUAGCGUGAAGGAUGACUGCCCUAUGGGUUGUAAACUUCUUUUAUAUGGGAAUAAAAUGUUCCACGUGUGGGAUUUUGUAUGUACCAUAUGAAUAAGGAUCGGCUAACUCCGUGCCAGCAGCCGCGGUAAUACGGAGGAUCCGAGCGUUAUCCGGAUUUAUUGGGUUUAAAGGGAGCGUAGGUGGAUUGUUAAGUCAGUUGUGAAAGUUUGCGGCUCAACCGUAAAAUUGCAGUUGAAACUGGCAGUCGUGAGUACAGUAGAGGUGGGCGGAAUGCGUGGUGUAGCGGUGAAAUGCUUAGAUAUCACGAAGAACUCCGAUUGCGAAGGCAGCUCACUGGACUGCAACUGACACUGAGGCUCGAAAGUGUGGGUAUCAAACAGGAUUAGAUACCCCUGUAGUC
rnacentral:rRNA from 1 species